rnacentral:tRNA from 1 species
GCAGGAGUGGCGGAAUGGUAGACGCGAAGGUCUCAAAAACCUUUGGUAGCAAUACCAUGUGGGUUCAAGUCCCAUCUCCUGUACCA